rnacentral:rRNA from 1 species
CCUACGGGAGGCAGCAGUGGGGAAUAUUGCACAAUGGGCGAAAGCCUGAUGCAGCAACGCCGCGUGAAGGAAGAAGGGUUUCGGCUCGUAAACUUCUAUCAACAGGGACGAAAGAAAUGACGGUACCUGAAUAAGAAGCCCCGGCUAACUACGUGCCAGCAGCCGCGGGAAUACGUAGGGGGCAAGCGUUAGCCGGAAUUACUGGGUGUAAAGGGUGAGUAGGCGGCAUGGUAAGCCAAAUGUGAAAGCCUUGGGCUUAACCCGAGGAUUGCAUUUGGAACUAUCAAGCUAGAGUACAGGAGAGGAAAGCGGAAUUCCUGGUGUAGCGGUGAAAUGCGUAGAUAUUGGGAAGAACACCAGUGGCGAAGGCAGCUUUCUGAACUGAAACUGACGCUGAGGCACGAAAGCGUGGGGAGCGAACAGGAUUAGAUACCCCAGUAGUC